UAGCGAACUGGGGGCUGUCACUCAGGGGCGGUAGCGUG
rnacentral:ncRNA from 1 species